UAGAACUGUGUUUUUGAUUUUUGAAAUUGUUUAAUUGCAUUUGGAUAAUUCUGUUUCAUUUGUUCCCAGGGGGGAAGGGGAAGGCACCUAGGGAGUGCUUAGGCAAGAGGCCUGCGGGCAUACAUAUACCCGUGGUAUAUUCACUGUCUAGCCACACUAGGUAAGACCUGGGCGGACCACCCCCUGUAUUUUGGUUAGGGCACCAGGUGGUGCUAAAUUAGGUAAGUAGUGGGUAUGCAGGUAAGGUAGGAGAGGGGGCUUUGAGAUUUACUUUCUAUGCUUUGGUUCCGUCCAGCCCCUUUUCCCCAUAUUACCGUGUGACGGCAUAAAUUCCUUGUAAACAUUUAUGCUGGUACCACUCUCUCUGCCUUUGUCCUCCUUACUCACACCUACAGUCCCAUACCUCUUUCACUUCAUGGAGGGUUGAGUUGUAGCAGUCAUUAGAAGUUUCCACUUAAUAUGAGGGCUGAGGGUGUCUUUUACAUGUUAUGAAUGCAGCCCAAGAAACAAUCAAAAUGGGUCUGUGUUCAGUAUGUUUUUAUGUUCUGGAACGUUCAAUUGAACAGAAACUGCUGUACAGAACAACCAGUUGAAAAACGGGGAGGGGUUGUGGGCAUGUAAACAUUGGGCGUCAUCCAUUUUGUCAAAGUUGAUGGUCACCGGCUGCAUUUCAAACACUUAAAAGGCACACCCUCAGCCCUCAAAUUAAGUGGACACUUCUGAUGACGUUGGACAAGUUUACACUUGCAGGGCGAGGGAGGAGGGAAUGAAUUUUAAAUGGACCGCCCUUGCCCGGAAAUUCAUCAUUCCACGAAUGUGUUUUCAGCUACCAGUAACUGGAAUGGGAGUGUUGAGACGCGAGGAUGUGCUGACAACGUUUCCGUCAUACUGGUGUCUGUUAGCUUCUGAACAACAGACACCCAAUCUGGCCCCUCAUUGCGUGCCUCUGAGUGAUAUGUCCACCGUGGCUCCAGACCUUAAAACAUGCCCAGAUCCCACCACUCCCAGCAACACUGCCCACAACAGAUGAACAUCAGACAUGUUGGUCAACCGUUCAUUUUAAACAAGAUGUUGUAAUCUCUAACUCCAUGCGUAGGGUAAUACUGUUCACAGCAAUGCAAUUGCUAAUUGCUUGUGUUGCAUACUUGCGUAGUGUGUAAAUAAGGCCUAAUGCUCUGUAGUGCCCUGUACUGCUUAUCCCGAUGACUCCUGAUUUAAAUGGCCGUUGUUUUCUAUCUAAUACAUUGUCUUUUCUAAUUCGUGCACAUGGUUUUUUGCCUUAAAUGUGUAUUUUUCUUUGGGGUACUUUUAAUAAAGUAGUUCAGAACAGAAUUUCAGAGAUUGUCCCAAAAAUUCAACACAUGUAUAAUCCAAUCGGAAGCUGGUCUACAUUUAACGGACUCCUAACUUCCUCCCUGUUCCUGCCACCCUGGAUAAUAAAGGGUCCCUUCCCUCUGUCCCAAGUCUCCUACAAGUUCAUAUCAUAAACAUACAUUAGGAUUUGCUUUAUUGUAUCUGAUUAGGAAUUUAAGAAGGAAUCCUGUUUGACACAUUGCAUGAUGCCCCUCUUUAUCCCAGACAAAAUUCCCCUCAUGGACAAAGUAAAUUAUAUCAACUUGUAGGACACCUGGGAUACACUUGGGAACCGCAUCUCUAGCAAUAGCCUAUUUUUCUCCCAUGGUAACGAAAGAGUUUGGCCAUUAGAUGGUGCUAUCAAACCGUUUCUCAACCUCACUCAUGAUGACGGCCUGCAACGGGCAAGACAGACUUAUGCUAUCAAAAAGAGCUACACAUUUUCAGUUUGUCUUUUUAUGUAUGCCUCAGCAGAUUUACGCUAUACAAAAAUAUAAAUGCAACAUGUAAAGUGUUGGUCCAAUGUUUCAUGAGCUGAAAUAAAUGAUCCCAGAAAUGUUC